rnacentral:rRNA from 1 species
AAUGGGCGAAAGCCUGAUCCAGCCACGCCGCGUGUGUGAUGAAGGCCCUCGGGUUGUAAAGCACUGUCGGGAGGGACGAAGCCUUCGGGUUGACGGUACCUCGCAAGAAAGCACCGGCUAACUUCGUGCCAGCAGCCGCGGUAAUACGAAGGGUGCAAGCGUUGCUCGGAAUUACUGGGCGUAAAGCGACCGCAGGCGGUCCAGUAGGUCGGGUGUGAAAGCCCGGGGCUCAACCCCGGAACUGCAUUCGAAACCCCUGGACUUGAGUACUGGAGAGGAGGGCGGAAUUCCUGGUGUAGAGGUGAAAUUCGUAGAUAUCAGGAGGAACGCUCGCGGCGAGGCGGCUCUCUGGCAGAUACUGACGCUCAUGGUCGAAAGCAUGGGUAGCGAACGGGAUU